GUCCUUUCGAAGACAUCCGAUAAAACUAAAAUAAUACAGAGAAAAAUUAGCAUGGCUUCUGCGCAAGGAUGACAUUGACUACAAGUUGAAUAAACAAUGACCCU
rfam:Brassica rapa chromosome A3, whole genome shotgun sequence.